GAUGAACGCUGGCGGCGUGCCUAAUACAUGCAAGUCGAGCGAACAGACGAGGAGCUUGCUCCUCUGACGUUAGCGGCGGACGGGUGAGUAACACGUGGAUAACCUACCUAUAAGACUGGGAUAACUUCGGGAAACCGGAGCUAAUACCGGAUAAUAUAUUGAACCGCAUGGUUCAAUAGUGAAAGACGGUUUUGCUGUCACUUAUAGAUGGAUCCGCGCCGCAUUAGCUAGUUGGUACGGUAACGGCUUACCAAGGCGACGAUGCGUAGCCGACCCGAGAGGGUGAUCGGCCACACUGGAACUGAGACACGGUCCAGACUCCUACGGGAGGCAGCAGUAGGGAAUCUUCCGCAAUGGGCGAAAGCCUGACGGAGCAACGCCGCGUGAGUGAUGAAGGUCUUCGGAUCGUAAAACUCUGUUAUUAGGGAAGAACAAAUGUGUAAGUAACUAUGCACGUCUUGACGGUACCUAAUCAGAAAGCCACGGCUAACUACGUG
rnacentral:rRNA from 1 species